rnacentral:rRNA from 1 species
CCUACGGGUGGCAGCAGUAGGGAAUAUUGCUCAAUGGGGGAAACCCUGAAGCAGCAACGCCGCGUGGAGGAUGAAGGUUUUCGGAUCGUAAACUUCUAUUGUCAGAGAAGAUAAUGACGGUAUCUAACGAAUAAGCACCGGCUAACUCCGUGCCAGCAGCCGCGGUAAUACGGAGGGUGCAAGCGUUACACGGAAUUACUGGGCGUAAAGAGCGCGUAGGCGGGAUAGCAAGUCAGAUGUGAAAUCCUAUGGCUUAACCACAGAACUGCAUUUGAAACUGUUAGUCUGGAGUGUAGGAGAGGUAGGUGGAAUUCUUGGUGUAGGGGUGAAAUGCGUAGAGAUCAAGAGGAAUACUCAUUGCGAAGGCGACCUGCUAGAACGUAACUGACGCUGAGGCGCGAAAGCGUGGGGAGCAAACAGGAUUAGAUACCCUUGUAGUC